GUGAUCCCAGAGUCGCGUGCGAUUUCGAGGUACGUGCUCCGAAAAGGCGCAUCCGAUCUUCUAAGGGAGGGCAGCCUUGCCGAGUUGGCGACGGUGGACGCGUGGCUCGACGCCGAGUCCCACAACUUCGACAGGGCCAUGUCGGCGAUCACCUUCCAGUGCUUCGUCGUGCCCAUGUUCAUGGGCGAGACGACUGACCACAAAAUCGUUGAGGAGAACCUGGAGAAGCUUAAGGUGGCCCUCGGAGUCUACGAGGAGCGUCUGUCCAGGUCCCGGUACCUGGCCGGAGAUUUCAUCAGCCUGGCGGACCUCAGCCAUUGCCCCAUGGCUCACUACCUGCUGGCCAGCCCCUGCGCGUCCGUCCUCGAUGCGUAUCCGCGUAUGAAGGCCUGGGUUGAUGGGAUGAUGGAUCGGCCGAGUGUGGAGAAGGUCAUGGAGCUUAUGGAUGCGUCGUGA
rnacentral:rRNA from 1 species